rnacentral:misc_RNA from 1 species
GAUGAAGAACGCAGCGAAAUGCGAUAAGUAAUGUGAAUUGCAGAAUUCAGUGAAUCAUCGAAUCUUUGAACGCACAUUGCGCCCCCCAGUAUUCUGGCGGGCAUGCCUGUUCGAGCGUCAUUUCAACCAUCAAGCCCUGCUUGUGUUGGGGUCCUGCGGCUGCCCGCAGGCCCUGAAAACCAGUGGCGGGCUCGCUAGUCACACCGAGCGCAGUAGCACAUCUCGCUCAGGGCGUGCGGCGGGCUCCAGACGUUAAAGCACCCACCUUUCGCAAGGUUGACCUCGGAUCAGGUAGGAAUACCCGCUGAACUUAAGCAUAUCAAUAAGCGGAGGA